GCUGCUCAAAACUUCACACACCUCUCCGUGGCGAACAGCAGGCAACGGUCUUAUGACUGGCUGAGAUGAGAAG
rnacentral:ribozyme from 1 species